UGGCUCAGACAGUAAAGCGUCUGCCUGCAAUGCAGAAGACCCGGGUUUGAUUCCUGG
rnacentral:tRNA from 1 species